GACGAACGCUGGCGGCGUGCUUAACACAUGCAAGUCGAACGAAGAGCGAUGGAAGCUUGCUUCUAUCAAUCUUAGUGGCGAACGGGUGAGUAACGCGUAAUCAACCUGCCCUUCAGAGGGGGACAACAGUAGGAAACGACUGCUAAUGCCGCAUACGAUCUGACCUCGGCAUCGAGGAUAGAUGAAAGGUGGCCUCUAUUUAUAAGCUAUCACUGAAGGAGGGGAGUGCGUCUGAUUAGCUAGUUGGAGGGGUAAGGGCCCACCAAGGCGAUGAUGAGUGGCAGGUCUGAGUGGAUGAACGGCCACAUUGGGAGUGAGACAGGGCCCAGUGUCCUACGGGAGGCAGCAGUGGGGAAUCUUCCGCAAUGGACGAAAGUCUGACGGAGCAACGCCGAGUGAGUGAUGACGGCCUCCGGGUUGUAAAGCUCUGUUAAUCGGGACGAAAGGCCUUCUUGCGAAUAGUUAGAAGGAUUGACGGUACCGGAAUAGAAAGCCACGGCUAACUACGUG
rnacentral:rRNA from 1 species